GGAAUAUCAACUGGCGCGUAUACAACAAGCGCCCCAGCCGCGUCUAUGCAAGUCUCCUGAAGUAUCAACAUGCUGCUCUGAUUCGCGUUCAUAGCACUAGCACGAAGGAGAGAGACGCAGUUGCCAUGAUCUUGGCCUUUGGCAAUAUGAGCCAUUUCUUGCAUAGGGCCACCGUUGGAUAGGAUAUCCCAUUCGCUACGGAGGCGUUCGUCACGGAGGAAAUCAAAGAGUCUUUGAGGGGAAACGGGCAACCAAACGGAAGUAGCAGCGCUUAAGACGAUCCCUGCUGGUUCACCAGGGUCAUCGACGCUCUUUCGAGUCAUGACACGUACAUCUUCAUCAACAUUACCUGCACAAAGUUUGUUCCACUUGUGUACCGUUGAAGCACAAACACCAGCACAAAAGUUGUUUGUCAUGCGUUGUGCUAGCUUCAACAUGCUACGCCUCCCACUUGGAGUUAUUGCUGUAUGAUCCCUGGCAGACACGGUGGAUGACAUGAGAAUUGCAAGACACUCACACUGGCGUUGGAGGGUUGCAACCCAUCUUUGUGCGCCAAACCCCAUACCCGCGCUAAUUAACUGCCGGUAAAGAUGGUGAUUUGCACCCUCUUCAUAUUCGGCAUGUUCUACCCAUGUAACUUUGCUGUAGCCAUUGGGCAUAUCUUGAACAACACAGCCAGAAGGAAGCCUUCUGCUAUUUGGAAACGUUGGUGCACCAGAAGUUUCACGGAUGGUAUCAAUCGAUACAUCAACGACAGCCCAGACACCUUCAGCAUGUUGUUUGCAGAAACGCAGGAAAUUGACCUCUCUAAUUGGUACUAAUGGUGAAAGCACUUGGAGUUCAGCAUGCAUCAGCUGAAGUGCACCAUUUCUGGUUCCACCCAUACCACUUGAUAUAACAUCUGUUGUUGAGGUUCUAGCAAUCAAACAUGGAAACAUUUCUGCCCAUUUGUUAGAGUCCAUUAAUGUCUCAACAAGAGCUAAACUAUUGAUUAUAACCAUGCCUGUCUCCCUGGAAGCCUCUGAAAUAAAACUGUUUGGUCUCAUACCAAUGCAAGGAGUAAAUGUCCUUAUGUACUCUUCAUGGUUAAGUAUUUCUCUACCACCUUCAAUGCUCCUGAACCAAAGAGGUUCAUCAGUUUGUGCCAUUUUUACCAAUUCCUCCAUGGCAGCCAAAGCAAGUUCAAGAUACAUGGAUCUUUCAAGUGAUCUCUCAAUUCCAGUUGACUGUCUAGUUGAAGGCACAACUGGUAAAGAAUUUGAAAUCCCAACACCGAAAUCAGGAGGUGCUAAGGGGAGUGUUGUUGGUACAUUACUCAUACCACCAAAUCCAUUACUUCCAACUCCAAGUUCCAAACUUGAAUUAGGCAUUGGGGGAGGCAUAGAGGUUACUAAAGAUGAAAUGGGUCGCCCCAAAAACUUGCCAGCAAGUGCACAAACUCGAUCUAAUUCAUCUUUCAGCCUAGCAUUUUCAAUCCUAAGAUGUUGCUCCUCAAGAGAGAUCUCACCAAUCAUUGCUGGACCACCACAAUUAGUACAAAUUGGAUUUCUCAUUGCCUCUCUUAUAGACAUGUUUUCUGCACGAAGCUUAUCAUUCUCUUGCCUUAGUAUCGAAUUCUCAUGGCGUUCCAGUUGAGUCUUCAUCUGAGUUCUACGAUUUUGGAACCAAAACUUGACU
rnacentral:misc_RNA from 1 species